rnacentral:rRNA from 1 species
AUUGAACGCUGGCGGCAUGCUUUACACAUGCAAGUCGAACGGUAACGGGCCGCAAGGUGCUGACGAGUGGCGAACGGGUGAGUAAUGCAUCGGAACGUGCCCAGUCGUGGGGGAUAACGCAGCGAAAGUUGCGCUAAUACCGCAUACGAUCUAUGGAUGAAAGCGGGGGACCGUAAGGCCUCGCGCGAUUGGAGCGGCCGAUGUCAGAUUAGGUAGUUGGUGGGGUAAAGGCUCACCAAGCCGACGAUCUGUAGCUGGUCUGAGAGGACGACCAGCCACACUGGGACUGGGACACGGCCCAGACUCCUACGGGAGGCAGCAGUGGGGAAUUUUGGACAAUGGGCGCAAGCCUGAUCCAGCAAUGCCGCGUGCAGGAAGAAGGCCUUCGGGUUGUAAACUGCUUUUGUACGGAACGAAACGGUCCUGGUUAAUACCCGGGGCUAAUGACGGUACCGUAAGAAUAAGCACCGGCUAACUACGUGCCAGCCGCCGCGGUAAUAC